rnacentral:lncRNA from 1 species
ACUCAUUAGCCAACAGUGUGUGUUACAAAACUAGAAUAACCUCUGCAAUUAUGCUCAGCCUUUGCUAAACCAGGGAGUAAGAGUUGUACAGAUUAGCAGUUCAGUACCCAAUGAGCUCCACUGAGUGAGUUCAGGGAGUCAUACAGCCUUAUUUGUCUUUAUAAGAGUGAUGCCUAUAGAUAGUCCACUUGUCUUCUGUGUGCUAAAAUGUCCACCGGGAGAAUAAAUAAGGUGAACUCAUGGGGAACUCUGAUUGCAUUCUGUAUUGGAUACACACAGAAAAUGCCACACCAGAACAGACCUACAUAGUCUUGUAUCCAUCCUCUAACAAUAGCCAGUCCCAGGAACAUCCCAGGAAGAAGGCACAAAACCCAUCAUGAUGUGAUAUCAGAGACCCUGCUUUGUGUUUACAAGAGUACCUGACCUUAACAUUUACAACAAGGGGGCAAGAGAAAUGAAAUGUGAAAUGAGAAAUCUCUGCCAAACUUCUGCAGAUUGUGGAGGAAUAUCACUGCUGACAGGGAGGGGAAAAAAAUCUAUCAAGAAGCCCUGAGAUUUUCUACCUCUUCGUUACAACAUGAGUCCCUUACAUCUGCUUUACCUUCGCCUCUUCCCAUUUUUUCCACUGGAUAUACCACCAAAAAGGUACAGGGAUUUGAAGGAGGUGGAGCUCUUUAUAUUAUGCUAUUGUAUCAUGCAAUUUCACUACCCCAUAAAAAUGUUGGAAGAUCACUAAUUGCACGUGGACUUGAACAGCACAACUGACUGGUAAAGAGAUCCAAUUCCAAAGAACCCUCUGAAACAGAAUAUGAUGGAAGCAGUUACUUGACUGAACAGUAGAAAGCUGAGUUAAAUUUAAAAGUUAUUUGUGAACAGGUGCUCUUGCUUUGCAUCACUAGCGUUGACAGUAGGUGUCCCAGUAAGAAUGUCAUUGUGUCCUAUAAGCUACCCUGCCAAAGGCUAUUAUUAACUCUGAAGUGACACACAGAAGAGGUCUGAUCACUUGCAGAGGUUACCAAGUAGAAAUGAGUCUCCGCUUUGGAUUAGUUCAACAUUCCUAAAAAGAAAACCUAGUUCAAGAGCCUGGAAAAAUGAGAGGACAAAUUCUGAAUUGAAUUACACUGUUGUAAGUCCAGAGGGACACCACUGAUUUCAGUGGAGUUGCUCCAGGUUCACACCACCAUAACCGUUCAAAAUCUAAUCCUAUUCUAGUUAUUUUAUUUUAUGGACAACCCUCCUCCCCCACCCCGCCAGCCACUUUGUUUUAAAAAUGUAAUUAACAUAAUUUUUGCAGUAAAAGUGAACUAUAGUCACAUAAAUGCAUUGGUAUUAAAUUUGAAAUCUGUUUUGCUUUGAAUUAGCUGUGCAUUUAAAGACCUUUUCCUGGUUUGACAUACUAUUAUGGGGGAUCAAUUAUUUUAUUUCUAAGAGGCUCUGUAUAAUAAGGAGCUAAGCUCAAGAUAAUAUUUGCUUAUGGUAAAGGGUAAUGCCACUGAGUAAGGUUAAAAAAAACGGAUGUUUAUAAACCUUUAAAAUGGUUUCUGCUCUGCUCUUGCAGAUUAUACCUGUGAGAAUAUAAUAGGUUUUCACUGU